rnacentral:rRNA from 1 species
CCUACGGGUGGCAGCAGUAGGGAAUUUUCGUCAAUGGGCGCAAGCCUGAACGAGCAAUGCCGCGUGAACGAGGAAGGUCUUCGGAUCGUAAAGUUCUGUUGAAGGGGAAAAAGAGCGGAGAGCGGAAAUGGUCUCCGAUUGAUAUUACCCUUCGAGGAAGUCACGGCUAACUACGUGCCAGCAGCCGCGGUAAUACGUAGGUGGCGAGCGUUAUCCGGAAUGAUUGGGCGUAAAGGGUGCGUAGGCGGCCUGCUAAGUCGGGGGUGAAAGGUACCGGCUCAACCGGUACAGGCUCUGGAAACUGGCGGGCUAGAGAGCAGGAGAGGGCGGUGGAACUCCAUGUGUAGCGGUAAAAUGCGUAGAUAUAUGGAAGAACACCAGUGGCGAAGGCGGCCGCCUGGCCUGUUACUGACGCUGAGGCACGAAAGCGUGGGGAGCAAAUAGGAUUAGAUACCCCAGUAGUC